UAAGACUGGAUAUGUUCAUUAUUAAUAAUAAUGUUUAUCAUAUAAUAAGGUUUAUCAGCUUACUUGCUCAAUAGUGCAUUUUUUUCACAGGCAUUUGCAAAAUAGCUAGCAUAGUGAAUGUAGCCUAUAUAUCGUUAUAUCAAAUGGGACGCUAGAUAUCAGUUUGGCUUUUUUCCAAUAAUUAGGCUAAUAAUUCAAAAAAAAAUUUUUUUUUUCAAUAAUUAGGCUAAACCUGGUGUCCUCCAUGAUUCCUGUUCUUUCCGACAACAAAGCACUUGAAUGCAAUGAGCUGGUAAUCACAACUUAAGAAGUGGGAAGUAGGAAAUUUCCGAUAGCACAUUAAUGCUGCCUUCACGUGCUAUCGGAAUUAUUGUAAAUAUGAGUUUCCAAGUUAAAAAUUGCACAUUAACGCCCUCUGAUGUCGUGUUUACCACUGGGAUUUUCGGAAAUAAAUUUGAUACCCAAAUUCCCGAGAUGGGCAUGCCAGAAACUUUAAACAUGGUGGGGGGAGACCUACUGCUGUGAUGGGUAUGAUUUAUUCGAUUUUUACCCCACAACAGCUAGAUCAUCUUGUUUUGUCAUUAAUGUAGAGCAUAUUUACAUAUAUGAAUAAUCAUUUGAAGCAUACAAUAUGUUUUAUACACAGCAAAAAUAGCCUCCAUAUGACUGAAUUACAGAAUCGUCAGCAAGCGGACAAUCUAGAUAGCAUCGUGAAUGUUUAUAUGGUUGUCAGUGGAACAGCAAAUAUAUUUUUUGUUUUAAUAAGAUUAUACCAAUAAAUAGACAAGAAUAAACCUGGUGUACUCAAUGGUUCCUGUUCAUUCCGACAAGCACUUGAAUGCAACAAGCUUGCAAUCAUGACUUCUGAAGUGGGAAUUAUGAAAUUUCCGCUAGCAUGUGAAGGCAGCAUAAGGCAAGAGAGUGCAUAUUUUAUUUCCAUCAGACAAAAAAAGAAAAUAUAAAAAAACAACAACCUAAGUGCAUUCCAUUUGACCGUAAGUGGACUGUGAAGUGGACUUCACAGGGUAUUGUGCCAUCUUAAGUGAGAUUCCAAUCCGAACGGAGCAAACAUGUUCAGUUUGAAAGGUACUGUGAAUGGCAUAGGGAAUAAGGGAACGUUGAUACAUCACUUGUAAACUCAAUUCGUAUUUAUUACUGGGAAACUCAGAGAUAAUUUUGAUACCUGAGUUUCCGAGUUCCCUUUCGAGGGAACCCGCGCUGCGUCGGAACGACACUGUGGGGAACGCCUCCAGCGUGACAGCGUCUGAAGUACGUAUUGAACAAGUACAAUCUGGAUUGGUGUUGCGUAAUGACGUCACAUGUGCCGGCGUCCCGGAAGCUACAAAGGUAAGCCAGCACACAAAAGUGUCAGCUUGCUGUCUUCAGCAAACGUUCUGUGUUGAUCUUGUCUGUUUUAUUUGGUGUUGUUUGCCACAUAUAUAUUAUAUAUCUUUACUAUGGUGACACAGAGGCAAUUCAGGCAGUGUGCGUCUCCCUGUCCUCGAUGUAUUCCUGAGGCAGCGCAUCGUCUUCAUUCAUGGCAUUCGCAAAUGGAGCUGGUGGAGGAUGUUGAGACGGCUUCGGCCCUUUCCCAGCAUUCAGAAGCAGCUCUGAUGUUCUCAUUCAGUUCGGAAGCCCGCUUUGCAGUUCCUUUCAACCUGGGUGAGGACCCGAUGCUUGAAAUGUCUGGUUCUGAGGAAUUAGAUGUUUUGAGUGUCGAGGCUGGAGAGAUUGAAGAUUCGCCACUUCAAUCCCUUGCUUUUGAGGAGCUGCUGGAGGUUGUGACCCGAGCAGUGGCCAAAUUAAAUAUUGAAUGGCCAGCAGAGAAGCAGGAGGAGUUUAAGAAAAGCAAGCUCGAUGAACGCUUCCUACAGACUCGGAGUUAGAUGACGCUUGGGAGGUCACGCUCGACAAUAUCAAAGAGCUCCGUUGAGCUGCAGACCUGUCUCUCUGUGCUUCCAAGGAGAUGGCCCGCGCCAUCGGCCGCUCCAUGUCAGGAUUGGUAGCAACGGAAAGGCAUUUAUGGCUGAACCUCUUGGGCAUCGGUGAGAAGGACAGGGUUUUCCUUAUCGAUGCCCCGCUAUCGUCUUCUGACCUCUUCGGCGACGCAGUCAACACUGUCGUUGAGAGGUUUCAGGAGGCGAAGCGUCAGUCAGCUCCGUUCAAGUAGUUUCUCCCCCGUUGGCGCUUGAAAUCUCGUGGGGCUGCUACCAGGGAGCAGCCUCACACAUCAGCCGCCAACUCCUUAAACCUGCAGCUGCAGAAGGAAAGUGUUGCCUCUCAAUUUACAUCGAUGAUUGGCUUAUCUUAGCUCAGUCAGAGGAGAUGGCGAUUCGACAUCAAGAUGUCGUUCUCCACAACAUAGAGUGCUUGAGUUUAAGGCUGAAUGCCAAGAAAAGUGCACUGUCUCCCCAGCAGAGAACUACGUUUCUGGGGGUAGUGUGGGAUUCAGUUACGAUGCAGGUACAGCUGUCUCCUACUCAUAUAGAAAGCAUUCUGACUACUGUCAGCAACGUCAGGCUAGGCCAGGCUAUUACUGUCAAGCACUUCCAAAGAGUGCUGGGGCUUCAUAAUACCUUUUGGCCUGCUGUACAUGAGACCCCUGCAGUGGUGGCUCAGGACCAGAGGGUUCUCCCUGAGGGGAAACCCGUUUCGCAUGAUCAAGGUAAUGCGCAGAUGCCUUCGUUCUUUGAUCAUGUGAAAGAAACCGUGGUUCCUGUCCCAGGGUCCUGUGUUGGGAGUGCCCUGUCAGCAUCUCAUCGUGACGACAGACGUGUCCCUCACAGGCUGGGGAGAGGUCAUGGAGGGCUGCUUUACCAGAGGUCUGUGGAGAGGGCAUCAUCUUUCGUGGCACAUAAAUUGCCUGGAGAUGAUGGCUGUGUUCUUAGCCCUAAGACACUUCCUUCCAGAUCUCAGGGGCCAUCAUGUCCUGAUACAGACAGACGUCAAGGGGGUUUGAGAUUGCGCCCUCUGUGCAGACUGGUGCAUCAAAUCUUCUUGUGGUCCCAGGGGAAACUGCUCUCUCUCAGAGCUAUGUACAUCCGAGGAGACCAAAAUUUGGGGGCAGACGUCCUGUCGAGGCAGAGGCUAAGGUCCGGGGAAUGGAGACUCCACCCCGAGACGGUGGAGCAGAUUUGGGAGGAGUUCGGCCAAGCGGAGGUGGAUCUGUUCGGCUCUCACGAGAACACCCACUGCCCGCUCUGGUUCUCCCUCACACUUCCAGCUCCCUUGGGACUGGAUGCUAUGGUUCAGGCAUGGCCGAGGCAGCGCAUGUACGCUUUUCCCCCGAUCACUCUACUCCCGGGCGUUCUAGAGAAGGUCUGCCAGCACGGGGUCAGCCUACUUCUAGUAGCUCCGUACUGGCCGGCCCGAGUGUGGUUUUCAGACAUUAUAGCUCUCCUAGCAGGCACUCCUUGGCAAAUUCCUAUCAGUCCGGACCUGCUGUCUCAAGCCGGGGGCCUGAAUCAUCACCCCCGGCCAAAGCUAUGGAAACAAUGGGUCUGGCCCUGAGGGGGACCAGCUUCUAAGCACUGGUCUCUCAACUGAGGUUGCUGAGACCAUCCUAAACUCUAGAGCUCCCUCCACGAGGAAACUUUACGCCCUAAAGUGGAACAUGUUCACUUUAUGGUGCAGGGAACUUCAGUUGGACCCAGUUAACUGCCCAGUGGCUUCAGUGCUGGAGUUCCUCCAAUGCCGUUUCUCUGAUGGUCUUUCCACAUUAAAGGUCUAUGUGGUGGCUAUAGCAGCCUUCCACACGCCUUUAAAUGAGGGCCCCUUAGGGAAGCACCAGUUUAUUACUCAUCUCCUUCAUGGUGCUCGGAGGAUGAGGCCUGUCGUCCAGACCAGAGUUCCCGCAUGGGACCUGGCAGUGGUUAUCCCUGGCACCCUUCGAACCCAUUGAUGAGGUGGCGGAAAAGUUUCUCUCUUUCAAAGUGGCCUUCCUGCUCACUAUUACGUCCCUCAAAAGAGUUGGGGACCUGCAGGCGCUUUCUGUUGCUCCCUCUUGCCUGGAGUUCGCCCCUGGCUAUAUGCCUAAGGUGCCUUCAAAUGUGGCAUGGUCUGUUAUUUUGCAGGCCUUUCAUGCUCCACCUCAUGUGUCGGCUGAACAAGAAAGGCUACAUUUAUUAUGCCUUGUCAGAGCCUUGGGGGCCUAUGCGCAUAGGUCCUCCGCCUGGAGGAAGUCGGACCAACUACUUGUGUGCUUUGGGUCACUUAAGAAGGGUUCCUCAGCCUCUAAGCAGACUAUUAGCAGGUGGAACGUGGAGGCUAUCUCUUCAGUGUACGAGGCGCGCAACUUGACUUCGCGUCUCCUGAUUAAAGCCCACUCAACUAGAGGAGUGGCUUCGCCCUGCUAUCAGGAGUUUCCCUUCAAGAGGUCUGUGAUGCUGCGGGCUAGGCCUCCCCUCACACUUUUAUAAAAUAUUAUAGCUUGGAUCUGCCCUCCACGCCAGGCUCUCAAGUUCUCAUGUCCUGAGUUGUGCCUGACAAGCUUCACACCAGGGCAACUUCUUUGGCGUGGUGCAGUGGGUAUUUCGUUCCCCAAAGUGUCGUUCCGACACAGCGAGUUCCCUCGAAAGGGAACGUCUCAGGUUACGUCUGUAACGUCUGUCACGCUGGAGGUGUUCCCAAAAGGCAGCUGAGGAUCUGUCAUUUUUUAUUUUACUUUAUUUACCUUAGGACUGUAUACUAUUCGGCUGCGCUUGGGAAAGAUAGAGCACAAGAUGAGACCGCUAGUGCAAUUAUUAUGAUCAUGGAUUAAAAACACAUACAGCCCUACACAUAGUUAACCAAAUCAAAAUUUAUUUUCACAUUGCAUGACAGUAACAGUACAGCUUCAACUCUUCAAAUCAAGUCAAUUAAUAGCUGAAAUUAAAUAUAAUAAACAUGUAAAGUGUGGUUGCCAAGGAAUCGUGUGACGAUGGAGUAAGCAACAAAAAUUAAAUACUUAUAAUAUUUAAAAUUAUUAUUUUAAUAAUAAUAAUAAUAAUAAUAAUAAUAAAUUCAAAAAGGAAACAUGCAGGAGAUUACCAGGAAUAAAGCAUAAUGCAACCACAUAAUACAAAUGGCACCAAACAAUGAACUGACAGAACUCAGGGUUUAAAUACACAGGGGAUAAUUAACAGAAAUAAGAACAGGUGUUGAACUAAUGAGUAACUAUAGAAAUUAACAAUGACUGGGAACAUAGGUACAACGAGAACAGGGAAAAUGAAACCAAAACACACUGACAGACCAGAGUGACAGAACCCUGACUCUAAGAACAUUAUUUAACAUAUGAUUCAAUAUUUUAGUAUUGGCACAACACUCUAUUUAUUACAGUUUAAUAAAUAAAUUACCAUUUUAAAAUACAGUUUGAAGCAGGAAUAUUUACUUUUUUGUAAUUUAAAGUCUUUUAAUGUGUGUUUUUUUUUAACUUACAAGCACAUGCUCCUUGGAAAAAAAAGUAUGCAUCAACCCCUGUUAUGACAAAUGCAUUUAUUUCACAGUGAUUUUCACUGCAAGAAAACUGUGAUUUUCAUGUUUAUUUUAGAUUGAUCAAUUGUUUGUCUACAAAGAACAACAUCUGGACGAAUGUUUUGAUGAAGUUUGCUGUGGAAUAAACGCUAACAACAGAUAUAAGGUGAAGGAUGACAUCGGGAACAAUGUUUUUAGUAUUCUUGAAGACAGCGAUUAUUGUAGCAGGCAUCUCACUGAAGGACGUUCCUUCAUAAUGAAUGUUAUUAAUCACUCAAAUCAAGAGAUCAUCAGACUGGUGCACCCGUUUGUUUGC